rnacentral:rRNA from 1 species
UGCGUAGGUGGCUUCUUAAGUCAGAGGUGAAAGGCUACGGCUCAACCGUAGUAAGCCUUUGAAACUGGGAAACUUGAGUGCAGGAGAGGAGAGUGGAAUUCCUAGUGUAGCGGUGAAAUGCGUAGAUAUUAGGAGGAACACCAGUUGCGAAGGCGGCUCUCUGGACUGUAACUGACACUGAGGCACGAAAGCGUGGGGAGCAAACA